rnacentral:rRNA from 1 species
UACAGAGGGUGCGAGCGUUAAUCGGAAUUACUGGGCGUAAAGCGUGCGUAGACGGCUAUCUAAGUCGGGUGUGAAAGCCCCGGGCUCAACCUGGGAAUUGCAUUCGAGACUGAAUAGCUAGGGUGCGGUAGAGGGAAGCGGAAUUUCCGGUGUAGCGGUGAAAUGCGUAGAUAUCGGAAGGAACAUCAGUGGCGAAAGCGGCUUCCUGGACCAGCACCGACGUCAGGCACGAAAGGCGUGGGGAGCAAACAGGA